rnacentral:rRNA from 1 species
UACGGAGGGGGCUAGCGUUGUUCGGAAUUACUGGGCGUAAAGCGCACGUAGGCGGCUUUGUAAGUUAGAGGUGAAAGCCCAGGGCUUAACCCUGGAAACUUGCCUUUAAGACUGCAUCGCUAGAAUCGUGGAGAGGUGAGUGGAAUUCCGAGUGUAGAGGUGAAAUUCGUAGAUAUUCGGAAGAACACCAGUGGCGAAGGCGAUUCACUGGACACGUAUUGACGCUGAGGUGCGAAAGCGUGGGGAGCAAACAGGG